rnacentral:rRNA from 1 species
CUCCAGACUCCUACGGGAGGCAGCAGUGGGGAAUAUUGCACAAUGGGGGAAACCCUGAUGCAGCGACGCCGCGUGAGUGAAGAAGUAUUUCGGUAUGUAAAGCUCUAUCAGCAGGGAAGAUAAUGACGGUACCUGACUAAGAAGCCCCGGCUAACUACGUGCCAGCAGCCGCGGUAAUACGUAGGGGGCAAGCGUUAUCCGGAUUUACUGGGUGUAAAGGGAGCGUAGACGGCUGUGCAAGCCAGAUGUGAAAGCCCGGGGCUCAACCCCGGGACUGCAUUUGGAACUGUGUGGCUGGAGUGUCGGAGAGGCAGGCGGAAUUCCUAGUGUAGUGGUGAAAUGCGUAGAUAUUAGGAGGAACACCAGUGGCGAAGGCGGCCUGCUGGACAUUAACUGACGCUGAGGCGCGAAAGCGUGGGGAGCAAACAGGAUUAGAUACCCGCGUAAA